rnacentral:lncRNA from 1 species
GCAUCGCCAGGGCGGAGCUGAGUUCUCCUCUGCACAGACUUCAGAUAUACAGCGAAGGCGGAGCAGUGUUCUCCUCAGCACAGACCCAGGCGGGCCGGGGGCACCGCGAGGGCGGAGCUGCGUUCUGCUCAGCACAGACCCGGGGGACACCGCUAAGGCAGAGCAGCGUUCUCCUCAGCACAGACCUUUGGGGCACUGCCUCGCUUUGGGACAACUCGGGACCGCAUAGACGGGAUCAUGGCACAAGUUGCAGUUUCCACCCUGCCCAUGGAAGAUGAGGAGUCUGUUGAAGAUGAUUCCGUGGAGAGCAGGAUGGUGGUGACAUUUCUCAUAUCAGCUCUCGAGUCCACGCUGCUGCUGUGUUGGACACUUGCUCCCAUCUACUUUCUUCUCUAGAAUCCACGGGUAAGCCACAUCUAACGAAGAGAAUAUUUAACCAUAACGU